rnacentral:rRNA from 1 species
CCUACGGGAGGCAGCAGUGAGGAAUAUUGGUCAAUGGACGAGAGUCUGAACCAGCCAAGUAGCGUGAAGGAUGACUGCCCUAUGGGUUGUAAACUUCUUUUAUAUGGGAAUAAAACAGGGUAUGCAUACCCUCUUGUAUGUACCAUAUGAAUAAGGAUCGGCUAACUCCGUGCCAGCAGCCGCGGUAAUACGGAGGAUCCGAGCGUUAGCCGGCUUUAUUGGGUUUAAAGGGAGCGUAGGUGGAUUGUUAAGUCAGAUGUGAAAGUUUGCGGCUCAACCGUAAAAGUGCAGUUGAAACUGGCAGUCUUGAGUACAGUAGAGGUAGGCGGAAUGCGUGGUGUAGCGGUGAAAUGCUUAGAUAUCACGAAGAACUCCGAUUGCGAAGGCAGCUCACUGGACUGCAACUGACACUGAGGCUCGAAAGUGUGGGGAUCAAACAGGAUUAGAUACCCCAGUAGUC